GUUAACGUUAGUGUCUGGCUGUCUAUAUGAAGGGGAACCCUUUUUUUUUUUGGCUUGUUUUAACUGGCCCAUCCAGUUUUCUGGAGGCCCACCUACAAUCAAAAUCCUGGCGCCGCUAGUGAGUGU